GAUGAGCCGUAGUCUUAACAAAAAUUAAGAAAUUGCAAUUUGAUUUCUGUGGAAAAAUCAUUAACAUUUGCCGAUUUUUAACCAAAACAUAAACAUAUCCCAUAUUCAAAAUCAAUGUAAUUUAUUUAUUUAUUUAUUUUUUGCAACAAAAGCUGAUAUUCAUUAAUAUUACUAGGCUCGAAGUGGAUGAACAAAAUCUAAACAACAGAGAAAUGAAAAGACAGAAAAGUAGAAAAAGAAACCUAAACAGCACACAAAGCACACAGGAAAACAACAAAACCACUAACGCACGAAAACUACCCCUCACCAAAUACAAAAAGUCUUCAGAAAGUUAUCAGCCAAAAAUUCAACUUCCCCAGAACAGAUCCUCAGUUAAGCCGAAAAAGGAAAAGAAAAAAAACUUUGAAACCCAGCCAUAGAUAUUCGACAGAACCUUCUCCAUCUUCAAAGCGUACAAAACCAUCUCAAUAAUUUUGAAUCCAAGCCGUCCAAUCCUCAGCCACCACCUUCCCCACCGAAUCUGGAGCUUCAUUAACCUAGAAACAAGAGAGUUGUCGUCGGCAUCCUUCUAAUGCCAAAGUAUGAGUGGCCCUAUUGACUGCUCUUGGGACAAAACAAGAGUCCCCUUCCAGCAAUAACCUCUUAAAACCUAUUUCAGACGUAAAAAGCAUAACCCUUUUACACACCCUAGCUUCAGCAACAAAAACAUCGACCACAUCCCCAGAAGGUAAUCCCACUCGGAGCAAUCAUGAUGUUAAGAGAGGCCCAUAGCUGCUGUAGAAUACCACAAGACCACAUCAAAUGGUCAGAAUCCUCAGGAGCUUCCUUACAAAAUGGGCAUACUACAUCAACAUUUAAUCUUCUUUGAAAAAGGUUGGUAGAAUAAGGCAUAGCUGGAAUAUGCAUAGCACAUGGUAAAUUGUAGAAAUCUCUGUAAUUAUUAGCUGUAAGAAAGAUGUAGUCGUUGCUCUGUAAUUGGUCUGUAAUUAAAGCUCGAUACCCACUCUUCACAGAGUACUCCCCAGUAGCCUCGUGUUUCCAAACCAACGUAUUGUGCAAUCUGAGACAAGCAAGCGGAAUGGUAAGAAUGCGGUUCACUUGGUCUUCAUCAAGCAAUCUGCUGAUCACCUCCUUAUUCCAAGUAUUUGUCUCAACAUCAAUUAAUUGGUUCACUGUGAUUUAGGAAGGAUUUAUGCUUUGAACUGAUAA